rnacentral:rRNA from 1 species
GACGAACGCUGGCGGCGUGCCUAAUACAUGCAAGUCGAGCGGACUGAUGGGAGCUUGCUCCCUGAAGUCAGCGGCGGACGGGUGAGUAACACGUGGGCAACCUGCCUGUAAGACUGGGAUAACUCCGGGAAACCGGGGCUAAUACCGGAUAACUCUUUCCCUCACAUGAGGGAAAGCUGAAAGAUGGUUUCGACUAUCACUUACAGAUGGGCCCGCGGCGCAUUAGCUAGUUGGUGAGGUAACGGCUCACCAAGGCGACGAUGCGUAGCCGACCUGAGAGGGUGAUCGGCCACACUGGGACUGAGACACGGCCCAGACUCCUACGGGAGGCUG